AUUGAACGCUGGCGGCAUGCUUUACACAUGCAAGUCGAACGGCAGCGCGGGCUUCGGCCUGGCGGCGAGUGGCGAACGGGCGAGUAAUGCAUCGGAACGUGCCCAGUAGUGGGGGCUAGCCCGGCGAAAGCCGGAUUAAUAUCGCAUACGACCUGAGGGUGAAAGGGGGGGACCGAAAGGCCUCGCGCUAUUGGAGCGGCCGAUGUCGGAUUAGCUAGUUGGUGGGGUAAAGGCUUACCAAGGCGACGAUCCGUAGCUGGUCUGAGAGGACGACCAGCCACACUGGGACUGAGACACGGCCCAGACUCCUACGGGAGGCAGCAGUGGGGAAUUUUGGACAAUGGGGGCAACCCUGAUCCAGCCAUGCCGCGUGCGGGAAGAAGGCCUUCGGGUUGUAAACCGCUUUUGUUCGGGAAGAAAUCCUCUGGGCUAAUACCCCGGGGGGAUGACGGUACCGGAAGAAUAAGCACCGGCUAACUACGUG
rnacentral:rRNA from 1 species